rnacentral:rRNA from 1 species
AGCCUGAUCCAGCCAUCCCGCGUGAAGGACGACGGCCCUAUGGGUUGUAAACUUCUUUUGUAUAGGGAUAAACCUAGAUACGUGUAUCUAGCUGAAGGUACUAUACGAAUAAGCACCGGCUAACUCCGUGCCAGCAGCCGCGGUAAUACGGAGGGUGCAAGCGUUAUCCGGAUUUAUUGGGUUUAAAGGGUCCGUAGGCGGAUCUGUAAGUCAGUGGUGAAAUCUCACAGCUUAACUGUGAAACUGCCAUUGAUACUGCAGGUCUUGAGUGUUGUUGAAGUAGCUGGAAUAAGUAGUGUAGCGGUGAAAUGCAUAGAUAUUACUUAGAACACCAAUUGCGAAGGCAGGUUACUAAGCAACAACUGACGCUGAUGGACGAAAGCGUGGGGAGCGAACAGGAUUAGAUACCCUGGUAGUCCACGCCGUAAACGAUGCUAACUCGUUUUUGGAUUUUCGGAUUCAGAGACUAAGCGAAAGUGAUAAGUUAGCCACCUGGGGAGUACGUUCGCAAGAAUGAAACUCAAAGGAAUUGACGGGGGCCCGCACAAGCGGUGGAUUAUGUGGUUUAAUUCGAUGAUACGCGAGGAACCUUACCAAGGCUUAAAUGGGAAAUGACAGGUUUAGAAAUAGACUUUUCUUCGGACAUUUUUCAAGGUGCUGCAUGGUUGUCGUCAGCUCGUGCCGUGAGGUGUUAGGUUAAGUCCUGCAACGAGCGCAACCCCUGUCACUAGUUGCCAUCAUUAAGUUGGGGACUCUAGUGAGACUGCCUACGCAAGUAGAGAGGAAGGUGGGGAUGACGUCAAAUCAUCACGGCCCUUACGCCUUGGGCCACACACGUAAUACAAUGGCCAGUACAGAGGGCAGCUACACAGCGAUGUGAUGCAAAUCUCGAAAGCUGGUCUCAGUUCGGAUUGGAGUCUGCAACUCGACUCUAUGAAGCUGGAAUCGCUAGUAAUCGCGCAUCAGCCAUGGCGCGGUGAAUACGUUCCCGGGCCUUGUACACACCGCCCGUCAAGCCAUGGAAGUCUGGGGUACCUGAAGUCGGUGACCGUAACAGGAGCUGCCUAGGGUAAAACAGGUAACUAGGGCUAAGUCGUAACAAGGUAGCCGUACCGGAAGGUGCGGCUG